CAGUAGCCGCGGUAAUACGAAGGGGGCUAGCGUUGUUCGGAAUUACUGGGCGUAAAGGGCGCGUAGGCGGCCAUUCAAGUUAGAUGUGAAAGCCCUGGGCUCAACCUAGGAAUUGCAUUUGAUACUGUUUGGCUUGAGUUCGGGAGAGGUGAGUGGAAUUCCCAGUGUAGAGGUGAAAUUCGUAGAUAUUGGGAAGAACACCAGUGGCGAAGGCGGCUCACUGGACCGACACUGACGCUGAGGCGCGAAAGCGUGGGGAGCGAACAGGAUUAGAUACCCCUGUAGUCCCUGUCUCUUAUAC
rnacentral:rRNA from 1 species